UGAAAAGCGCUGAGAUUACACGGUGAAAGCUCUUUAAAGUUUGUUGUUUUGGCGUUGGCUACGGCCUACAGUAGCCUGUGUUUAAGUGAACGAAUAAAGUACUGGUGAAACCAGCUCAAGACCCGUAGCUUAAGUAGGGACGCUACAUUAUGUACGAUACAUUAACCCAAUUUAACCUCCUAAACUCAAGGAUUUCUUUGCCAUCGAACGUGGUUUCUUGCCGGGAGCGGAUGAUGGUUAUUAACUAUUGACAAGACCUUCGACCGUUGUUGUUAUUAGAAGACUUUAGGUUAUAAUACGUCCUCUGAGCAGUGCUACGUCUUCAGGACACAUUGGAAAAAGCAGUGACUCACUAUCUGAAAGCGACGAGCAACUAGCUAGCUGGUUAGCGUGCUAACUUCAGUCGAAGAAAAGACAUGAUAGAAAUAGAAGCAACACUGGAUGGUUGCUCUCAACUUCUGGACACAGCUCUUGGCAAGUAAAGGAAUGACGCUUGUUGAUGAAGUCACAACGCUUCGUCUAGACUGGUUUCUGAAGAGCGGUUUUGAAGCUCAGAGUGAGCUUUCCCGCCAUCAACAUCUUGGCAGAGCCUGACUCCGCUGAACACUGAGAGAACGCUGAGACUUUGGAAUCAAGCAAGCUGUGCAAACAUCAGCAGCCACUCCCACCCCCACCAUGUAGAGCCCCAGAGGAGAGCCAUAUAUAGGAGGACACCGAGGUCCCGAGAAACAGUUGCAUCUGCUGAGUUCAUGUUCAGCAUCAGGUUCAAGCAAGAAACAUAAACUGGCUUGAAUCCAAAGACUGGGUUUUACAGUCUCUGUCAGCCACCGUGUUUCACUGAUCGUAACGCCGCACUCAAAACUGAAGUACAAGGAAGAACAUGUUUCUUUGAUUCUCUGGUAAUCCUUGGACAUGGAUAUACAGCUGGUGAUGUUAGUGUCUGCUGAACCAGUCAUUUAUGGGAAGUAACACAUCACAUCACCAUCACUACGGCCUCAGCUGUUACCAUAAAAGACCUUCAGAAUAACAAAUCACGAUAAAUAAAAACAAUGAGAGAAGCAGCGCGAGCAGAGAGAACCUCAGGCACGAGCGCAGAGCUGCUGAAUCUCCUUCAAACAGGUGUGAAGUUGAGUUCAUUAUGGGAAACAUUGCUGUGUAAAACAGCUGCACACCAGUCCGUGAAUUCAGUUGGUCUACAAGCUGAGAUGAGUCACGAGGAUCUUUUGGAAGGAGGAGUCUGGAAUCAGUUUGUUUGACCAGCUCUUCAUUUACAGGACAGCAGCAUCCUUCCGUCCCCAUCUCCUGCUCAGCACUUUAAUCCGGCCAGAACGAAUAGAGAGAUUAAAAAGCCGAAGAUGAGACAUGAUGAAAGAGGGUCACCGCGGUCAGCAGGAUGUGGGCAGGUGAGGAGACGGGAGGCGGCGAGGACAGCGGAGAGCAGACAUGCCGGCUGGAGAUUUUUAAUCAGCACACGGCCACUUCUUCACUUCCUGGAACAUGAUGCUGUUUUCUGUGGAGGGAAGGGAAAAGGCACCUGAAGCCUCUGGAUUCGAUCUCUGUCUCAUCUUUGCAGAUGGAGUCUCGAUGCGCAUGAUUCAUGAAGGGGUUGAAUCUUGAGUUUUAAAGAGAAGAAAGAUGUAAACACCUAGAUGUUUCAUUCAAUGAGGCUGAAAGGGCGAUUUCAAACGGAGCCACAGAAAUGUCAUUGAGCAACUGACACGGCAACGACAUCUCCCCUCUGGAAGAGACUUAAAAAAAAAACGUGUAAGUUACAAUUUAAGAAGCCUCAAGUUUGAAGCUGAACUUUAUGAUAGUGUCACUAUUUUUGUUUGUUUCUUUCCAGCAGAAGUGAAAUGAUUUAAAGAUGCAGAUGCUGAUUCAUGAUGUGGAAACACAGCAGACAGAACUGGGUGAAGACACAACUACAUGCAGGUGAAAUCCCAAACAGAAUCUACAUUUACAUGGUGACAGUGUUACCUCCGGGAGGGGGGGGGGGUACCAGACAGAUCGGGUUUGCUACAUAAUGACUGCUGGAAAAAGUUCAGUACAUUUGAUUUGCCCUGAUAAAGUAAAGCCACCAGUGUGGUAGUCUGAGUUAAAACAAACGACUUGUGGAUUGUGAAAACAGAGUAAAGUGGAGCUAACUGUGCAAAUAAAGAGGAAUUUAGUGAGUGAGGGACAAAACAGACAAACAGGCACAAAAGAUUUCAAGCUCCAUUAGCAAAGGCAAGAGGAAAAGAAAAAUCAAACAAGUCUCCUUUCCUUCAUCAUGCGAGAGUGAGAAAGGCUAUAAAACAGCAGUUCUGAUCCUUGUUGGCUUGUGCACCGUUAAAACAAAGUGACGCUGUCAAGCAGUAAAUAUCAGAGGAAGCAGAGCAGCUGAAAACUAUCCAGCAUUUCACAAGAGAAAACGUACAAUCCUAAAACUAUUUAGAAGCAAAUACACGAGACAGUGAGAGAAUACUGUUUGUAAUCCUUUCUAUCAUCUCCUGACCUCCAGGUAGAAAGCUUCUGCAGACAGUGAGGAGGAUCAGCUGGACGAUGAGGCUGAUUUAACAAAGACUGGGCAGUGUAUCUUCAGACAGGCACUACUAUAGACGAAGAGAAGCCUCGUGAUUUAAGUUUUAUCUCUACAGUUUCAAGAUCAAAACUGCUCAGGUGAGGUCCUUAACUUGCUCGUUUUUAUGUGACAAAAAGAAUAUCAAGUUUAUGACAAUAUAAAAACAGAAAGAGCAGCAGAUUCGCACAUUUGAGAAACUGCAACCUGUGAAUGUUUGACAAUUCUUAAUUGAUUGAUUUAACAAUGAUGCUGAGUUGUAGGUAGAAGCACAUAGAUGCUCUGCUGCCUUCCAGACAAACCAUACAGUAAGAAAUUAUGAACUUCCUGCUAAGAAAAUGCAACAGAGAAGCCAAGUGGAAAUUAAUGAGUUUUUUGUGAUGCAGAUAUCAGCAGUAUUUCAUCACUCCUUAGACUUUCAGCACAUCACCUUAAAUCCAACUGGAAACUGUGCGUGGAUUUAAAGCUUAAAGAAUACGCCAACAUUUUGGGGAAAUAUUAUUAUAUGCUCUCCUGUCAGACAUUAGAUGAGAAGAGGGAUUAAACUGUCAUAUCUGUGUGUUAAAUAUGAAGCUACAGCUGUUCAAAAGGUAAGAAAAACAUUUUUAAAGCUGACAAACUAACACAAUAUGUCUUGUUUGUUUAUGACAUAGCGAAGUUAGCCUUUUCCCCUUGCCUCCAGACUUUAUGCUUGACUAACCUAACUGUCCCUUAGCUUCAUAUUUAACGCACAAAUAUCAAAUAUCUAACUUGAGUCAAUUAAGCAAAUAAGUGUAUUUCCCAAAUGUCAAGUUGCUAAAUGGAUAAACACGACUUUGUGAUGUAAACUUAAUGCUGUUGUGAUACCUAGCCAACGAUUAGAGGGACAUUAGCUGCUGUAUAAGGAGCAGUGUUUGUGUCAAUCAAAGGAAAUAUCCCCGGCGUUAAUUCCUCUCACGUCUGGGGUUUUCCAGCUAUGACUGCAUGAGAACAGAGGUUGUUAUUACAGCGUUGUACCGGGUAGGAAUUUCCAACUUCCGACUGAGUCAAACGCAGCAUUAGUCUUUACUUCAUACAGAGCUUUUGCAGUCCAGAGCGGUGUGGAAUGAAACAGUGUGGAAAUCCAGACAUAAGUCAUCCUUUAGUGUCCAGCAUCUGAAAAGUCUGACAGUUUUUGAGGCAUGGGCAAAGACAUUUGAUCUGACCGCACGAUGGAAAAGGCUUUGAGUGACUGUCAGGCUUGACACGAUGCUUCAUAUUUAGGGAUGUUUGAGGAAACUGCUGAAUAAGAAGUCUUUGUGUAAGGCAUAAUCCAAGAACCAUACCAGAUCCACAAAUAGUCUGCGGUGAAUGAGAACGACCGCUCACCAGGCCACACGCUGCUGAAUGUGGCCUGCCACUGUUCAUUUUGUCCUUCUUGGCAGGGACAGAACAAAAGGAGAAUUUCCCCCACGAUGCUUCGGAGCCUUGAAGAGGAAGGGACGAGGUCAGACCACACGGGCAACAUGAUGUCCGUUAAUGGCCUCCAGUUGAGAGGCCGUCACCACCUCAUCAAUCCAGCAGAGAGGUCUGAUUGGUCGUCUGUCACAGGCCAGAAGACUGGGCGGGAUGGUAGGGUCCAUUCACCUGAGACAGAUCGCAGGAGGCAACGUCAGUCCAUCAUCAUGUGGUAUAUGUUCUCCUUCUGUGGAGAAGAUGAACUGAUGCGUCCACUUGCAGAUUGGCAAGAAGUGUCACCGUAGAGUCCAAGCCGAUGUCAGUGCGAUUGCUGUGAAGAAGGAUGCUUUGUUCCCUAAUUACCUGAGUCUCCUCCUGUCAGUGUGUAGUUGUAAAAAAUCCUGGUUAUCUAUUGUUUUCUAAUUAUUUGAAACUAACACUUUUUGUUGGCAUUUGCAGUGAUUUAAUUUGUGCUUGAAUUUGAUAAUAAAUUCAUUGGUUUCUUCAA